CUUUUAAACAGGUAAUAUUUUCCCUACAGUUUGCUUUCACUGAAAUAUAUUAUCUUUUUUACAUACUAGGUAGAAGCAAUUUAACAACAGAAUAGUUAGCUACAAUAUGUUCAAAAUAUUGGGAAAUGCAGAUUUAUAGAUGUGACCAUCAAUUUUAUUUUGUUAUGUUUUUUAAAUACUUACUGGUCCAGCUGCAGCAUACACUAACUGACUUGGUUUUACAUUUUAGGGCUGAAACCCUGAGGAACCUGCGGAGUAACUGUUUAGCACUGAGCAGAGUUCAGUAUGCAUGUGCUCCCAGAGUUAAAAACUAAACCAAACCAAUUGAAAAACAAAAAUCCCAGUAUCUUUUAAUUUUUGAGUAUUUACUUGUAAUCACAGGCUUUCCCAAAUUAUUAGAAUGCCUUAUACCUUGGCUAUUUUACUAGAAUAAUGAUUUAGGUUAUUUAGUAUAGUCAUUUUGCUCAGAAUUUGGUAUAAACAGAUCUUUUUUGCUUUUCAGAAAUUACUAAGCUCUGUCGGUGCCACAGCUGAUCCCUCUUCAGUUCCAGAGGCUUCUUCUGGUGUCUGUAGCUCUUGACAGUGGUACUUCACCUUCAGUGGUUUGCCGGGGUACCAGACCAAGUGAAUAUGACAGGGAAUCAUUUCCUGGGAAAUAAGAGUUCUGAAAUAUUAUGAUCUGCAAAAACUUCUGGUUUAAACAGUUCUAUAUACCAUUUUGUUUUACCUGUGUUGAGAAUUCAUGGAGUAGAACAGUAUAAUCAAAAUCAAUUGCAUCUUCAUUUGUUUUCUAGAAGAAGAAAGAAAGAGUUAGUGCGAUAGAUAGUGUGGGUUUAUAUUAGCUUAGAAUUUGGAAGGCUCGUCUUAUAUCACCUGCCUCCUCUUUGAUGCUAGCCUCAUCUCCUUUGGUGGUAUCCUGCAUUAAGAUGUGAAAGCUGUUGAUUCUUACUGUUUUGCCACUGUCAUGAUAAUCUAGUAAGGUCUUUCUGUCCCUUUUUCUCUCUAAUAUUUAUGGGUUUUGAUGGAGAUUAAGGUCUAUGAGAAUAGGGAGAAUCUUUUGACAACCUCAACCUAAGGAAUCUAGAUACUGUAUAUGCACCUCAAGCUGAUUUAUAGCCCUGAUAUGCCAGGCAGUAAGACAAGGGGCAGGGCAAUCAGGAUUUCUAGAAGGACACCAUGGGCCAGGUUCUCUGCUAGGCACUUUAUACAUGUUCUCAUGGAAUUCUCCUGUCUUGCAAGAAUAUGUAUUAUGAGCCUUCUUUUACAGGGAAGGCAACUUGAGGUUACAGCUAGUAGGUGACAAGUGGGGAUUCAAACCCAGAUCUACUGACUCCACCACCGACAUCCUUCAUGCUGUACCACACUGCUUCUAAAACCAGCACAUUUUAUAGCUAUUUCUUAGCCUACUCUUCUCUCAGGCUGUGUUCAUUUGGGGCUGUGAAGUUUAUAAGGCUGCACUGCCUUACACAAUUGGAUUAAAAGGGAUAUUAAUGGACAGAUGAUGGACAUCAAAGACAGACUGGCUAGAAUGAGCGAGAAACGGGGCUGCUGUUUUCAAACCAUAGUACGUCCUGGUGUUUACUUAGGUGAUGUGUCAUUUAUAAAUGCAAAAGAAGAAUGGAAAACAAUGCCAUUAAAAGAUCCUAAGUUUUU